UGCUGCUUCGCUGACGAGUGGCGGAGGGAGAGUAAUGUCUGGGAAACUGCCUGAUGGAGGGGGAUAACUACUGGAAACGGUAGCUAAUACCGCAUAACGUCGCAAGACCAAAGAGGGGGACCUUCGGGCCUCUUGCCAUCGGAUGUGCCCAGAUGGGAUUAGCUAGUAGGUGGGGUAACGGCUCACCUAGGCGACGAUCCCUAGCUGGUCUGAGAGGAUGACCAGCCACACUGGAACUGAGACACGGUCCAGACUCCUACGGGAGGCAGCAGUGGGGAAUAUUGCACAAUGGGCGCAAGCCUGAUGCAGCCAUGCCGCGUGUAUGAAGAAGGCCUUCGGGUUGUAAAGUACUUUCAGCGGGGAGGAAGGCGAUAAGGUUAAUAACCUUGUCGAUUGACGUUACCCGCAGAAGAAGCACCGGCUAACUCCGUGCCAGCAGCCGCGGUAAUACGGAGGGUGCAAGCGUUAAUCGGAAUUACUGGGCGUAAAGCGCACGCAGGCGGUCUGUCAAGUCGGAUGUGAAAUCCCCGGGCUCAACCUGGGAACUGCAUUCGAAACUGGCAGGCUAGAGUCUUGUACAGGGGGGUAGAAUUCCAGGUGUAGCGGUGAAAUGCGUAGAGAUCUGGAGGAAUACCGGUGGCGAAGGCGGCCCCCUGGACAAAGACUGACGCUCAGGUGCGAAAGCGUGGGGAGCAAAACAGGAUUAGAUACCCUGUAGUCCACGCCGUAAACGAUGUCGACUUGGAGGUUGUGCCCUUGAGGCGUGGCUUCCGGAGCUAACGCGUAAGUCGACCGCCUGGG
rnacentral:rRNA from 1 species